CUGGGGUGCUCGAGUGGCGAACGGGUGAGUAACACGUGGGUGAUCUGCCCUGCACUUCGGGAUAAGCUUGGGAAACUGGGUCUAAUACCGGAUAGGACCAUCGUUUAGUGUCGGUGGUGGAAAGUUUUUUCGGUGUGGGAUGAGCUCGCGGCCUAUCAGCUUGUUGGUGGGGUAAUGGCCUACCAAGGCGUCGACGGGUAGCCGGCCUGAGAGGGUGUACGGCCACAUUGGGACUGAGAUACGGCCCAG
rnacentral:rRNA from 1 species